UCCAUAAUUAAUUCGUGCACUUUACGCUCGUCCGACGCUCACACUCACAGACACACGCCCAUGUACACCCACAGACGUACGCGGACAGGAGAUAAUAAAUAACGAAUUUACUAAACCUGAAAUAAUAAAUAAAAAUAUCUUUGUGUGAAAUUAAAGAGAAACACGAUCGAAAAGUGAGAAACGAAAGAAAUCAAAAGAGUAUGUAAGUCAUUCACAGUCUGUCCUGUCUGCCGGAAGAUCAUUACGUCAUUAUUUACAUUCCAGAAGCGAAAGAACAACGUGAGAAGCGAUAAGCGUAAUAUGUCGGUAGCGACAAGGUACCUUUGUCAUACGAUAAAACGUAUUUAGAGAAAGAAAAGCGAGAAGUAAAAUCGGUCUUUAUACAAUGCGAAAACGUUUCCUCUACAUUUCGCGACCGUCCAUCCGUCGUCCAAUUCGUCGCUGUAAACGGGGUGGAAAAAAAAGUAGUUGACAGCGAGAACGAGGUAGCAGUGAGAUACAAUCGAAAAAGGAAACGAAAGUACCAGCGACUGCGGCGGUUGCAGAGAGAAAUCAUAAGUAAAAUAAAGUUCGCGAACGAAAGAGAGACCAUAAGAUAAAAAGAAGAACAAGAAGACGAAGAAAAUAGUGGAGAAGGUAAUUACAUGCCGCCAAUCACACACGGACAAAACGACGUACAAACAAUAUUACGAGGCACGUUGUACCCCAUGCUCUACGCCCCUUGAUACGAUUACAAUCCUCCAUUUGAAUACCAAUAAUGCUUUUUUCUCUCUUUUUUUUUUCAAUUCUUUUUUUUUUCUUUAGCCCGCGCGCAUUCGACUUUGCAUAUACAAGCGCGCGCGCGUAGACACGGUAAAGUACGCGGUAACGUUGGGCACGAUAACACAGCGGCAAUAUUGGAGAGUCCAUGACUUGAGAGACCAAGUAGAUAGUUAGUUGCACGCGAGUUUCCGCGGAGGCGGUUGUGAGGGCAACGAGUACGCUCGCCGGGGGACGAAAGUUGCCGCAACGACGACGGCGACGACGGCAGAGUCGCGGAAUCUUGCUCCUCGAACGGAUGCGAGGUAGUGGCGGGGUAAAUAUACACACGUUGCCUAUUUACAACGUUUAUUUACAACCACGGCCACUGCACACGACUGUUGGAAGUUAGAGAGUACGCGACUGUGCCACACACGGCGUAUUUCGCGUUAACCCCCGCGUUAACCCCCUUCUGACGUCGCGAUGCCAGGACGUCGGUGUUUCGCGAGACGAGUUAACUCGAUUGUCUCAUGGACGGUCCAGUAUUCGUCGUAAUUCGCUAAACGGCUAAUUGGCGCGAUGGUGAGAGAGAAAUGGGAAACGUAAAACGUGGUGAGAGAAAAAUAAAAAUUCAGAUAAAAAACCAGCACUGCCUAAUACCUACUUCCGCACGAUAUAUAUAUAACAGUAGAAGCAGCUCUACGGCGGAGGGAUUCGCAAAAAAUGAAACUUGCGCCGCAACGAAAGUACAUACAGAAAAUUCCGACGCAGAAAACUGAAUCGUCGUAGCGCGAACUUGAUGAGAAGCGAUUGGAAGAUCGCGUGCUCGCUCUGCUUCUAGCUCUCGCAUGUAUACACAGUCAAGUAAGAUCAAGAUCACACUUACAACUUCGCUAUGUAGCGCAAAAAACAAGGGUGGCGAGCGCGCGCAGUCGCAGCGUUAUAAUGUAUGUAAUAUGUUCCUCAAGAUUAUAUUAUAAUAUAAUUCACUGGCUGCAGCAACAAAAAAAAAUAAGAAAAGACAAAAAACAACUGUAGGACGACACUUCGAGAUUUGACUCUCUCGACAGACAACAAAAUGAGAGUGUACAUAUGCAAAAAACCAGACGGUGACAAAAAGGAAAAGUGAAACAAAAAUAGACGGUAUAGAAAAAUGUCAUGGCACAACUCGAGACGAGCUAAGGGAUACUCACUUUUUUCAGCUGCGCCCCAAAAGUCGCCAAAAAAGUGGGAAAAAAAACUCGUAAAAAUUCGUGUCAACUUCGCACGUACAUUGAGUAGAAUUACAGUGUAAUGUAAUUUAAUUAAUCUUUAAGGCAUAUCAAUGGGUAGCACACUACUGAUUAUUAUCAUCAAAAUUGGCCCUCUCUAUUAUAUAAUAACUAUAUUCUCGAUUUUACGACAAAAAAAAUAUAUAUAUAGACAGAGAUCUCGUUUAUCCUUUUCUUCUCGAAGCAGGCACGCGUUCGCAUUCGCUCGAUUCGGUCCUUUCGUUCCGGCCUCAUGCGCUCGAUUGACAAUCACACCGCUUAUUUCGCAACUGCUAACGAAUGUCGGUGGCAACAAGAUUCAUGAUUCCAAUCGAUCGUUACAUAGACCCAAAAAAAAAAUGAAUGAUCGCUUUGGCCCUCGGUUGCAGUUGGUCGCAGAGAGGCGGGAGACGUGAGAAUAUCUUUUUUUUUGGCAUGCGCAAUCACUACUCCAAAUAUGAAAUAACUAAAGGCUUAAUGUGUUCAUCUGCCUCGUGUCGGGGGCGGGACACGAGGGCCAAAUUGUCUCACGUUUCUUUGCCCGAAAUCGCGGGUGAAUGGUAAGCUUAGAGCGUCGAAAUUUCGAAUCUUCCCCCUUCUUUUCCUCCCCCGACACGAGACAUCAAAGGGAAGACCUAUGAUAAAAUGCCUACGAAAAGAAAGCUAUAGGUAGGAGAAACCAUAAGAAAGAAUAAGGUGGACGGUUUCUAGGAUGUAUCAAACGAGAGAAAAGGUUUCGUCGGUUAUCACUACGGUAUUCUAUAGAAAUGGACAGUCGUGAGAAAAACUCGCGAUUACUUUCGUGACAUUUUACGUAUUGUAGUCAAAAAUUCACGAUACAAGAUCGGGAUACAUGUCGGUGGGGUGGAGUGUCUUCUGAGGAAAAAUUGUUUUAUUUUCUUUUUUUUUUCUUCUUUUUGCAACUCCAAAAAGUCACCCGCAAAAAACAGCAGCUCGAUCAAAAACUUUUGUCGCUUCAGCAAAGGGGAGGCAGGGUAAAUUAGAGAAAAAGAGAGACAGAGGGAGAAACUAAAAGAAAGAAAUAGAGAGCAAAAGGGAGAGACAGACACAGUGAGAUCACUCAGCCGUUUGGGAUACCAUAAAAAAGUACCCCGCUAUUUGUCUCCCCUUCCCUUCUCUCUUUUUUCUUUCCCUUCUCGUCUCUCCUCUCUCUUUCUCUCAAUGUCAACAUCCACCCGCGCAUUCAUCCACGCAAAAAUCACAAAAUUCCACGUAAAACGCGCGCGUAAAUACGUUUCGACAGCCGUUGCCGAGACGCGGUGAUAGAGGUAGCCGUGCCGUUUAUUUGAUUAACGAAUCGUGCUCGCGUACCUGUCGAUGAUCGAGUGUGGUCGAAACUGUCGAUGACAUCUAAAAUGUCUAAUUCAAAUUGGCGGAACUAGCUGGGUCGAGCUAAAGGAAACGAACUGUCAUAAAUCAUGCGUUUUAUUGGGACAUAACAGUAAUAUAGUUUACGUGUUAAGUAAAAAAUUGAAGGAAACAAUCAGGAACAAUCAAACGGGCAGCCGAAGCUCUUAAGACUUUAAAUUACGCCUACGAAAAGAGCGUUGCUUUAACCGUUGAUGAAAAAGUUCAGAGAUAUAAAAGGAAAUAAAUCACAUUUACAUGUACAAUGUAAUUAUAUACCUUUUCUAGAUACCCAUGUAAUAAAACGUGUGCGUGUUUCUCGAGAAUAAAAAAGUAGAAUACGUAUGUAGAAAGAGAUGCUAUAUAUGGCAUUUAAAAUAGAAUAUUUCGUACAUAUCGAAGUAUCAUCUGAAUAACAGAGUACUAUGUUUUCACUUACAGAGACAUAAAAGAGUUGGAAACGGAUCAGAGUCUCGCAUGCAGAGAGCGAAGAUAUAUACGUAAUAGAAAAACGGCCGUCGAGUGAUUACGUAUGAAAAUUAAUGGGACCUGAUGCUCGCAGUCUACGUAUGUCCAGAUUUCUCGUUUUCGUCCGUGCGGUCAGCGCAGCAUACGAUCAAUAUUCGUUUACAACAUCGCUACGAUUACACAUCGCAUAUGCAUCGCAACGUAUCGAUAUUCUGACGGUAAAGUGGAUUAAUAAACGAAAUGCCAAGGAAUCAUAAAAUCACGGAGAACGUCGAGUGAGAAAAGAGAAAGAAAAAAUUGAGUGCACGCCAACAUACGACCGAGAUAACGAAUACUAUAUUCGAGCGUGUGGGAAACGAGCCACGAGAUUUUUGAGAUUUUUCGAGGAAACACCCAAGAGAGCCGUAAGCGCUGAGCAGUAAACGUUAAUGAUACUUCACAUUAGAUAGAAUUCAAAUAUUGAUAACUAAUCGACGCUUUAAAACGACUAAUAAAUAAAAACAAAUCUUUUUCUAGAGAAAAAAACAUUUACUUUGCUCAUGGGAUCAAUUAAUCCUGCACGAAAUUUUCUUUAUAAAUACCGAAAAUAUCAAAUUUCUACAAAGUGGUCUCUCGAUUCUCUUCAAUUUCGUCGAGAGAUCCAGCGUGUUCAAGAUAAUUCAAAUUAGUAAAUUUAAAUCCGCUUUCACCGGUUUGCGUUUCCAAAAUAUUCAAGGUCGUAGAUUUUGGCGAACAAGCUCGGGAGGCAACGGCCCAUACGCCGGACGUCUGGCAAGUUUUUGCCAUAAAUACUGAUUAUUAAAUAGCCAUGCACAGUGACCGGACCGCAGUUGUUAGGGGAGACGCGCUACGGUCUCCAGGACCGGUUGGUAGCCUCCCUCGGAUCGCGACAUACACACACACAGGGUAUACAGUGGACAAGCGUGCGCGUGGCGCGGGGAAGGCAAGGGAGUGGACAUUGGGAAGGGUGAGUCGGAGGGCUGUGUUCCAGGAUGGGUUUAAUACAGGUACAACGCCAGUGCCGUAGGCUUUAUGAUGACGAAGAGCACCUGAGGGACCGGCGAGCCUGCAAUUUCCUCGUUGCGCACAGACAUCGCACCUGUACACCGCUCUGUAUGCGCGUCCGACACACGCAUAAACGUGCAUGUAUUAGAGGUAACGGCGUUGUGUGCGCGUUCCGACGCGCCACCGGUCACGGUUGCAUGGGACCAAUUUGUAUCUGGACGCGGACUCGCGGUGAUGCGUCUUCGAUAAUCUCUUUGGGAAUUACCCCAAGUAGCCGAGGAACGUUCUCGCGUGUUUCCAGCGAGUAUUCCGUGUGUGGUUCAGUAGCUCCACUCUCCGAGCGGAAAAGAAAUACGUGCGAUGCGAAACGAGAUAAUUAAAGGGUCGAAGUGACGCAUAGUACUUGCUGUGCUUUAGAAAGGACUCCGCACGAUUCUUAUGAGAAAAACGUUUUCGGUCAAUUUGUUUCAAUUUGUGAUAUGUUGUAAUUUACGUGUCCCUGAACGUUUUUCUUAUAAGAAUCGUGCGGAGUUCUUUGUAUUUAAAAAUCUUGUUUCUCCCAAUUAAGAUAAAGUAGAGCGUGUGCUGUGUAUAUCCACGUAUCCAUGAGAUGCACAUAUGUGUAAGUUUAAUUAAUUAAAG